UCGGCAUUAUUCACAACAGGAAAAAACUUUUUAAAAUCAUCAGUUUUUCAGCUGUAACAAGUUUUUCUUUUUGUUUGAAAGUAAUUCGGGUUUUAGAGCAGAACUUUCACUGACAAACUUUAUGUAUGUUAAGAGAAUGGAUUGGUCACUGUUCCUGCUUCUAUCUCGUCAGGCAGUGGAAGGACAAGCUGAGUAAGUUCCACUGCUGUAUAUUGGGCCUAUUCGCGUUGUCCUGUAAAAUGUGCCGUCACAACACAGAUGCUCACUAAUAAACAGUUCUAGAAGAGGGAUCCACAAUUGCGUUUGACAAAUUCAAAAGAAAUUCCAAAGCCUUAAACUCUACGUUGGAAAACACGUGGUUUGAUAGUUUUAAAAAGCAAAAGAUUCCCAUUGUUUUAAUAGGUUUCAAAUGACAUGGAUGCUUGUUCCGUAUUGGACUACCAAUUUAGCCAGCUAGAAGUUGGUUCCAUUUAAAUGCGUUGAUGAGGGUAGAGAAAUAUGCAGUCUGAACUCUGUUACAGUAAUGAAAGUUGAUUCAAACGUCACACCAUUUGAAAUAGAUACCGAGGUCUACGUUUCUUACUGUUUGGUUACUGCCUCCAACAAAUUGAUGGAGUUUCCUUUAUUUUCCCCUGCUUUGUAUUCAGACUUUCCUUGAAUCUUGAAGGUCACACAGGAGUUAAGCAACCAGCAGCCCUAGCAAUGGCCGCAACCAUUUUGGUUUAGGGGGUCUUGAAAGGGAAAAUGGCAAAAUUGUAGAGAAUUACGAG
rnacentral:lncRNA from 1 species